CGUAAAAUAAAUUUCCAGGGGAACCAGAAACCACAACAUAACAAUAUAAUAUCGAGGUCGAUGAGCCCCUAUUGUACUUACCACCGGCACCUAUUAUUGAGUUUUUAUUGUAACAAAAAAUAAUAAUCUACGUUCAGAAGUUCGGAAAUGACGUCACGGCACGAAAAUGUCGCUUUUCACUCUACUAGGCGUUCCGCGGGGGGCGGGGCGCGGAAUGCCGACAGUGUUAACAGUCUCUUAUCUUAUCAACAACCGACGACACUCCGACAAGUGACAACGCAUAGCAAAGGUUUUGACUUGKGACUUUCGGAGAAAACUACAAAUAAUAAUAACAGCGACACGAACGCAGCGGACGAAUAAUUAUUGUUACUAUAAUAACCUCUGAAAUUUAUCGCUAUAGAAGUCUUCGGUUUGUUAAACUUUAAUCAAUACCACAACGGAUACUCGCAGGUCGCGAUCAUCUCAUUGAACUCUGCACAUUUUUCAUUUCCAAAUACACCUGCAGUUUGCUGUAAACGAGAAAUACCGACGAAGUUAUGAGUGACGG